UACGAAGGGGGCUAGCGUUGUUCGGAUUUACUGGGCGUAAAGCGCACGUAGGCGGAUCGUUAAGUCGGGGGUGAAAUCCUGGAGCUCAACUCCAGAACUGCCUUCGAUACUGGCGAUCUUGAGUCCGGAAGAGGUGAGUGGAACUCCUAGUGUAGAGGUGGAAUUCGUAGAUAUUAGGAGGAACACCAAUGGCGAAGGCAGCUCGCUGGGACGGUACUGACGCUGAGACGCGAAAGCGUGGGGAGCAAACAGG
rnacentral:rRNA from 1 species